rnacentral:rRNA from 1 species
CCUACGGGGGGCAGCAGUGGGGAAUAUUGGACAAUGGGGGGAACCCUGAUCCAGCCAUGCCGCGUGUGUGAAGAAGGCCCUCGGGUUGUAAAGCACUUUCAGUGAGGAAGAACGCCUGGUGGUUAAUACCCAUCAGGAAAGACAUCACUCACAGAAGAAGUACCGGCUAACUCCGUGCCAGCAGCCGCGGUAAUACGGAGGGUGCGAGCGUUAAUCGGAAUUACUGGGCGUAAAGCGCGCGUAGGUGGCUUGAUAAGCCGGUUGUGAAAGCCCCGGGCUCAACCUGGGAACGGCAUCCGGAACUGUCAAGCUAGAGUGCAGGAGAGGAAGGUAGAAUUCCCGGUGUAGCGGUGAAAUGCGUAGAGAUCGGGAGGAAUACCAGUGGCGAAGGCGGCCUUCUGGACUGACACUGACACUGAGGUGCGAAAGCGUGGGUAGCAAACAGGAUUAGAUACCCUAGUAGUC